rnacentral:piRNA from 1 species
UUGGGAUGUCUCUGAGGUUAUAAUAUUC